GGAUUAGAUACCCUGGUAGUCCACGCUGUAAACGAUGGUCACUAGAUGUUCGGCGCUUCGGUGCUGAGUGUCCAAGGGAAACCGAUAAGUGACCCACCUGGGGAGUACGUCGGCAACGAUGAAACUCAAAGGAAUUGACGGGGGCCCGCACAAGCGGUGGAGCAUGUGGUUUAAUUCGAUGAUACGCGAGGAACCUUACCUGGGCUACAAUGCCUCUGCUAGCUGGUGAAAGCCGGUUUUCCUUCGGGACAGAGUGCAAGGUGCUGCAUGGUUGUCGUCAGCUCGUGCCG
rnacentral:rRNA from 1 species